AACGGUCCUAAGGUAGCGAAAUUCCUUGUCGGGUAAGUUCCGACCUGCACGAAUGGCGUAACGAUCUCCCCGCUGUCUCUGAUGUGGACUCAGCGAAAUUGAACUGUGUGUCAAGAUGCACACUACCCGCGGUUAGACGGAAAGACCCCAUGCACCUUUACUCUAGCUUCGCAUUGGCAACAGGAUUGCGAUGUGCAGGAUAGGUGGUAGGCAUUGAAACCGGGACGCCAGUCUCGGUGGAGCCUCCCUUGAGAUACCACCCUUCGCACUCUUGUUGUCUAACCGCGGCCCGUUAUCCGGGUCCGGGACCCUGCGUGGUGGGGAGUUUGACUGGGGCGGUCGCCUCCCAAAUCGUAACGGAGGCGCGCGAAGGUUGGCUCAGACCGGUCGGAAAUCGGUCGUUGAGUGCAAUGGCAGAAGCCAGCCUGACUGCAAGACUGACAAGUCGAGCAGAGACGAAAGUCGGUCAUAGUGAUCCGGUGGUCCCAAGUGGGAGGGCCAUCGCUCAACGGAUAAAAGGUACGCUGGGGAUAACAGGCUGAUGAUGCCCAAGAGUCCAUAUCGACGGCAUCGUUUGGCACCUCGAUGUCGGCUCAUCUCAUCCUGGGGCUGGAGCAGGUCCCAAGGGUACGGCUGUUCGCCGUUUAAAGAGGUACGUGAGCUGGGUUUAGAACGUCGUGAGACAGUUCGGUCCCUAUCUGCCGUGGGUGUAGGAGACUUGAGAAGAGUUGCCCCUAGUACGAGAGGACCGGGGUGAACGAUCCACUGGUGGACCAGUUGUCGUGCCAACGGCAGUGCUGGGUAGCUAUGAUCGGACAGGAUAACCGCUGAAGGCAUCUAAGCGGGAAGCCCCCUUCAAAACAAGGUCUCCCUUGAGGGCCGUGGAAGACCACCACGUCGAUAGGCCAGAGGUGUAAGUGCGGCAACGCAUUCAGCUGACUGGUACUAAUUGCCCGAUAGGCUUGAUUUGAUCCAG
rnacentral:rRNA from 1 species